GGUGUUGCUCAGUGGUAGAGCACUUGCCUAGCGAGCACAGAACCCUGAGUUCCAUCCUCAGCACC
rnacentral:tRNA from 1 species